GUGAAAUAACGCUUUGGGAGGUUGUGAUGAAGGAGAAACUGCUUUCAAAGCCAUUCAAGAUAUGGGACAUGACAAAUUGUUCAUUGCCAUUUCAGGCUUCCAUUGUCAAAGAUGAACAAGUAUCUGUUACUCGUGUUACGUGGAGUCCAGACGGAAAUUUUAUAGGGGUUGCCUUUACAAAGCAUUUGAUUCAUUUGUAUUCUUGCACUGGUGGGUCCAAUGACUUGCACCAGC